rnacentral:misc_RNA from 1 species
UACGAAGGGGGCUAGCGUUGUUCGGAAUUACUGGGCGUAAAGCGCGCGUAGGCGGACAUUUAAGUCAGGGGUGAAAUCCCGGGGCUCAACCUCGGAACUGCCUUUGAUACUGGGUGUCUGGAGUCCGGAAGAGGUUGGUGGAAUUCCGAGUGUAGAGGUGAAAUUCGUAGAUAUUCGGAGGAACACCAGAGGCGAAGGCGGCCAACUGGUCCGGUACUGACGCUGAGGCGCGAAAGCGUGGGGAGCAAACAGG